CGUGCGGAGCGCACAGGAGCCCCUGCGAGAGGCGGCCGUCAGGUUCAUGGGGAUGGCCGGGCGCUUCCUGACAGGGCAGCAGCCGCACUUCCGCAUCAUCUGCAGGGCCCUUCAGGACAUGACGGAUGACACCAGCC